rnacentral:rRNA from 1 species
GUUUGAUCAUGGCUCAGAUUGAACGCUGGCGGUAUGCUUAACACAUGCAAGUCGAACGGUAGCAGGCCUUCGGGCGCUGACGAGUGGCGGACGGGUGAGUAACGCGUAGGAAUCUGCCUCAUAGUGGGGGACAACGUGGGGAAACUCACGCUAAUACCGCAUACGCCCUACGGGGAAAGCGGGGGAUCUUCGGACCUCGCGCUAUGAGAUGAGCCUGCGUUAGAUUAGCUAGUUGGUAGGGUAAAGGCCUACCAAGGCGACGAUCUAUAGCUGGUCUGAGAGGACGAUCAGCCACACUGGGACUGAGACACGGCCCAGACUCCUACGGGAGGCAGCAGUGGGGAAUAUUGGACAAUGGGCGCAAGCCUGAUCCAGCAAUACCGCGUGUGUGAAGAAGGCCUUAGGGUUGUAAAGCACUUUCAAUUGGGAGGAAAACCUGUCGGUCAAUACCCGGCAGCUUGACAUACCUUUAGAAGAAGCACCGGCUAACUCCGUGCCAGCAGCCGCGGUAAUACGG